GAUGAAGAACGUAGCGAAAUGCGAUACUUGGUGUGAAUUGCAGAAUCCCGUGAACCAUCGAGUCUUUGAACGCAAGUUGCGCCUCAAGCCAUUAGGUUGAGGGCACGUCUGCCUGGGCGUCACAUAUCGUUGCCUGAUGCCAGUUUCCUCGUGAUGGGUGACUGUGCAGGGCGAAUGAUGGCUUCCCGUGAGCAUUGUUGCCUCAUGGUUGGUUGAAAAUUGCGUCCUUGGUAGGGAGCGCCGUGAUAGAUGGUGGUUGAGUGACGAACGAGACCCAAUCAUGUGAGACCCCUACCGAAUUUGGCCUUCAUGACCCACAUGCGUCUUUGGAACGCUCAUGACGAGACCUCAGGUCAGGCGGGGCUACCCGCUGAGUUUAAGCAUAUCAAUAAGCGGAGGA
rnacentral:misc_RNA from 1 species